GAGACAUGUUCAUCUAGAACACUUGAGACUUGUUUCUCAAGUGUUCUAGAUGAACAAGUCUCAAGUGUUCUAGAUGAACAUGUCUC
rnacentral:pre_miRNA from 1 species